rnacentral:lncRNA from 1 species
AAUAGCUAACGGGUCUGGCCUUGAAGUAUUAGACCCAGACUCGAUUCCGGAACAUGAAACUCAUAUUCAAAGUCUCAAAAAAAUAUCUAAUGGUUGUGGCGGAUCUCAGCAACUGAAGCGGCCGGCAGAGAGGGAAAGGAAGUCGGGAUGGCAAAGAGCAACAGCGAAAAGAUCGGAUCUCGAUGGAGGGCAACGGUGGAGAGGGAGAGGCGGCCCGGAUGGCAGUGGAGACGAUGCGAGGCAGAGAGAGGGGGCAUGAAGCAGUGGAGCCGCAAAAGGC